AUUAUAUAUUUUUAUAUAUUAAAGUAGUAAUAGUUAAGAUCUUGAAACUUAAAAAAUUUGGCGGUAUUUUAGUCUAUUCAGAGGAACCUGUAAUGUAAUUGAUAAUCCACGAUGAACCUCACUUAAUUUUGUUUUUCAGUUUGUAUAUCGCCGUUAUUUGAAAAUUUUAUAAGAAUAAUAAUUUUCAUAAUUUUUAAUUAAAAAAUAAAUCAGGUCAAGGUGCAGCAUAUAAUUAAGUAUUUUAUGGGUUACAAUAAAUUUAUUUAUUACGAAAUAAAUUAUAAAAUUAAUUUAUAAAGGAGGAUUUGAAAGUAAAUUAUUAUAGAUUAAAAAAUUGAUU
rnacentral:rRNA from 1 species